CCACACACGAUCCAAGAUCGACACUUUUUGUGAACUGUUAAAAUGUUAUGGAGAGAACAGAAGUUGGUAAAUUUUUAAUUUAUCAAUCAAAGUUUUCUUCCUAAAUUUUACACCAUAAAAACAAAUUGAAUAAUUCAAUUGGAACUUAAAUGUUACAUAAAGUCUGUCUUUAUUGUAACGCUAGAUAUAAAUUGUAAA
rnacentral:misc_RNA from 1 species